rnacentral:lncRNA from 1 species
UAAAAGUGAAAUAAAUUCAUACAUACUGUAAUAUAAAUAGUCAAGGUAUGUAAUUAAAUUUACAAUGACACGUGGGCCCCCAAAUGACAAAAGUGAACGAAGGCUGUGAACCUACAAUUUUUGAGGAAGUAAAGUCAACUGUAGCCUUCGACGAUAUCAGCUAUCUACAAACUAUCCUGAGCUUGAAAUAGGUGGAAAGGAAGGUGAUGAGAUUAUAUAAUCCUAGUGAGUAAACGAAUAUCAUCUAAAAUAUCUAAAGCCGAGUAAAUGGAGACGAUUAAAAUAGAUCAUCAUGAAAUGGUUCAUAACAUCAAAACACAUUUCAAAUCAUCUAAGCCAGAUACAUUUCAUCCAAAAUAUACAAUGAGGCUUAUGAAUCUCUUAAAAACUUGGCUCGUGCCAAAACUCAUUCUCGGGGAUACCUUGGCCAAGGCAUCUAACCGAGUCCGUCAAGGUUGUUAAGAAGUCGUAUACACACAAAACACAUUUUUACAUUUAAAAGCACAGCCGUUCCUUGGUGUUGGCUGAAUUCACUCUCACGUGGUGGUUUGACGUGAAGUGAACUCUAAACUUUACCCCAAGAGAUACCCUACGCUUCUCCAACCGAGGUAAGAAUAUAACUAGAUUUCGUGCCCCUCUAAUAGACUGGCCCGCAGAACCCGCCACUGCAGUGACCAAUCUAUAACCCACCAAUUCAAUAAAAAUUCAACAGCAUGACAUGUCAAUUUUAUCAUUAUCCAGCCUAUCAAGGCAAACAACAGUUUAUACAUUUUCAACACAAAUACCCAUCCAGCCAUUCAUGCUUACAUUAUCAUAAGCCAUUUCAAUUCAAAACAUAAUUUACAAUAUAGCAAGUAGUCUUCAAUUAUUCCAUUUUCAAGUCAUCAUUAAAUUUCAAAACAAUUUAUAAAAUCAUUUCAUUUAAACACAUUUUUCAUAAAAUUACAAAAUCGGAUAAAAACAUACUUUAGAUAAUUAAGACGAUAAUAAGGUUACUCACUAUUUCGGGAGUCGAAUUUUUAGAGUACUCCGACUAUCGAUCCUCGGGUACAAUUUCUUUGCCCUUAUCAGAAGAUUCACCACCU